rnacentral:rRNA from 1 species
AUUGAACGCUGGCGGCAUGCUUUACACAUGCAAGUCGAACGGCAGCGGGGAGGAGCUUGCUUCUCUGCCGGCGAGUGGCGAACGGGUGAGUAAUACAUCGGAACGUGUCGAGAAGAGGGGGAUAACCACCCGAAAGGGUGGCUAAUACCGCAUAAAUUCUGAGGAAGAAAGCUGGGGACCUAGGAAUAGGCCUAGCGCUUUUUGAGCGGCCGAUGUCGGAUUAGCUAGUUGGUGAGGUAAAGGCUCACCAAGGCGAAGAUCUGUAGCGGGUCUGAGAGGAUGAUCCGCCACGCUGGGACUGAGACACGGCCCAGACUCCUACGGGAGGCAGCAGUGGGGAAUUUUGGACAAUGGGGGCAACCCUGAUCCAGCCAUGCCGCGUGUAUGAAGAAGGCCUUAGGGUUGUAAAGUACUUUUGUUAGGGAAGAAAAGUCAGCUGUGAAUAAUGGCUGAUACUGACGGUACCUAAAGAAUAAGCACCGGCUAACUACGUGCCAGCAGCCGCGGUAAUACGUAGGGUGCGAGCGUUAAUCGGAAUUAUUGGGCGUAAAGCGAGUGUAGACGGUUAUUUAAGCCAGAUGUGAAAUACCCGAGCCUAACUUGGGAGGUGCAUAUGGAACUGGGUAGCUAGAGUGUGUCAGAGGGAGGUAGAACUCCACGUGUAGCAGUGAAAUGCGUAGAGAUGUGGAAGAAUACCGAUGGCGAAGGCAGCCUCCUGGGAUAACACUGACGUUGAGGCUCGAAAGCGUGGGGAGCAAACAGG